rnacentral:rRNA from 1 species
UACGAAGGGGGCUAGCGUUGCUCGGAAUCACUGGGCGUAAAGGGUGCGUAGGCGGGUCUUAAGUCAGGGGUGAAAUCCUGGAGCUCAACUCCAGAACUGCCUUUGAUACUGAGGAUCUUGAGUUCGGGAGAGGUGAGUGGAACUGCGAGUGUAGAGGUGAAAUUCGUAAAUAUUCGCAAGAACACCAGUGGCGAAGGCGGCUCACUGGCCCGGUACUGACGCUGAGGUGCGAAAGCGUGGGGAGCAAACAGG